UUUAGCAGGAAGACUGAGUUUUCCUCCCUACGUUCCCAUCCCCAUUUCUCAUAACCGCAGGGAGACAAACAUACAUGUGGGAAUAACCUCAGCAUUGCAGAUAACAGCUCAAGGUUUUGUUGUUGUUGUUGUUGUUAAAAAGUUGAUCUUUCGCCCGGCCUCGGAACGGUGGAAUUUAUCUUCAAGAUUGCAGACGGAAAAGUUUGGCAUACAUUCAGGAUCAUAUAAGGACAAAGUUGCCCACAAGCAAGGAACAAAGAAGAGGAACUUUGGAUUUGCAGCAUUUUGUGUCACCUUACUUCAAGUUAUUGAUUUGCCACCACAGUGAAAAUACAAGUUGCACAAGAUUGGAAGAGAAAAGGAAUGAUUAUCACUCCCACUUUGGUUAAACAAAAGUUGGAUAAGUAUUGGUUCUUUGAAAGUGAUCGUGUAAGGAAGAAAAAUCUGGACCGAACAUUUUGGAAGUAGCUGAGAACAUCUUUUGGAACUUGGAAAGGAAUGGUAGCAGAAACACUGUGAACCGAAUCAGUUUUAUUCAGUAGUGAAAAUGUGUAAUUUAUUAUGUAUGUGUGUUAUUCUUUAGGUGAAUCAUUUGACUAUCAGAGAAAAAAAGUAAGUAGCAUGGACAAAUGCUUCAUGGACAAAUUUAAACAUUGUUGGAACAUUUCUUCAACUGAUGGCGAGCUGACAAAUAGUCCAAGAAAUCCAAGUUACUGGAGAAAAGUGUGCACAUGGGAGGUUUUUACAUCUAACAGCAAAAUCUUCCCCAUAACAGCUCUCCAGCAGAGAGAGACAACAAGAUAUGCCACACCCACCCACCUCAGAAUGAUGUGGGGUUCUCUUUCACUGCUGCUGCUGCUGCUGAUAUACCACUUUUCAACAAAAGUUUCCAAAGCAAUUUACAUAGAAAAAUAAUAUAUAAAUCACAUUCUUAAUCUUGCCUCAGACUGAACAGAGGAAGGAUGCCCAGUAGCAGCCAGAAUCAUAUGGAUAACUGCAGAAUUUAUCAGUGCAAACAAUAAAACAAAGGAUGAUUAUCUUGCUUCCUACAUAUUUAUUUUAAAAUUUAUACUCUGCCUACUUUGCAAGGAACUUGAGAUGACUUCCAAAAGCUAAAAUAGUAAAAAGUAGCAAAAUAGCAUGUGGGACGGGGAGAAAAGCAAAACAUUCAGUGAAAGCAAUAAGAUGGUACACAUAGCACCUCCACAAUCUAUCUAAAAGCAGCAGAGAAUUUUUAAAAAACAAAACAAAAACCAAGCAGCUAGCAGGCCUCUGGGAUGCAACAUUUCCAAUGAUUCAAGGAAACAAGACAAGGAAGUGUCUACAGUUUAAUGGGUUUGUCCAUGUCCAUAAAACAUUUAACAUAUACACACAAAAACACUAUUUAAAAAAACCUUCAAAAUAAUGUGCUGCAAAUGCAAGAUGACACAUUAUUCUAAUAAUCUACUGGAUCAGAGUUUAGCAGAACUACACUGAAUGCUCUUCCUUAUUCAGGUGUGCCAUUUGACCUAACUUUACUUAAUGCCAUAAUACUCAAGCUGUGGUUUUUCCCCUCCAUUCCUCCCAGAAGAAGAGAUUCUGCAGUGCUAUUUUUGUAGCACCUGAAGCAAGAGUAAUGUGGCUUUAAAAAAACUGAAAGCCUAACAACUUUCUUGUGGCGCAAGUUCUCAUUAGCUAGAGUAGUCUAUUUGUCAGAUACAGUUUUCCCAAGUUAGAACGCUAAAUUUCUGUGCCUACAAAGAUUAGAAAAGCUGAGCUUUAUUUAUUUAUUUAUUUAUUUAUAACUCAGGAUUCAUGUUGAAAUCAAACUUCUGGCAUUUCAUUUAGUUAGAAAGCAAGGGGUUGUAUGAAAAUUAAGAAACUCUGGGAUGCAGCUGACCACAUUUCAGUAAGACACACAAUGUGAUUUCAGUAUAAGUGAUAUAGCUUUGCAUAUACAUUUUUACUGUACCUUGAUUAUGAAUCUGGAGAGUUAAGAUCAGUAAAAAAAUAAAAUUCUAAACCAGCUUA